rnacentral:rRNA from 1 species
CCGCGCUGCAUUAGCUAGUGGGUAAGGUAACGGCUUACCAAGGCAACGAUGCAUAGCCGACCUGAGAGGGUGAUCGGCCACACUGGAACUGAGACACGGUCCAGACUCCUACGGGAGGCAGCAGUAGGGAAUCUUCCGCAAUGGGCGAAAGCCUGACGGAGCAACGCCGCGUGAGUGAUGAAGGUCUUCGGAUCGUAAAACUCUGUUAUUAGGGAAGAACAUAUGUGUAAGUAACUGUGCACAUCUUGACGGUACCUAAUCAGAAAGCCACGGCUAACUACGUGCCAGCAGCCGCGGUAAUACGUAGGUGGCAAGCGUUAUCCGGAAUUAUUGGGCGUAAAGCGCGCGUAGGCGGUUUUUUAAGUCUGAUGUGAAAGCCCACGGCUCAACCGUGGAGGGUCAUUGGAAACUGGAAAACUUGAGUGCAGAAGAGGAAAGUGGAAUUCCAUGUGUAGCGGUGAAAUGCGCAGAGAUAUGGAGGAACACCAGUGGCGAAGGCGACUUUCUGGUCUGUAACUGACGCUGAUGUGCGAAAGCGUGGGGAUCAAACAGGAUUAGAUACCCUGGUAGUCCACGCCGUAAACGAUGAGUGCUAAGUGUUAGGGGGUUUCCGCCCCUUAGUGCUGCAGCUAACGCAUUAAGCACUCCGCCUGGGGAGUACGACCGCAAGGUUGAAACUCAAAGGAAUUGACGGC